UACGUAGGGGGCAAGCGUUGUCCGGAUUUAUUGGGCGUAAAGAGCGUGUAGGCGGCCGUACAGGUCAGCUGUGAAAACUCGAGGCUCAACCUCGAGACGUCGGCGGAAACCAUCUGGCUAGAGUCCGGAAGAGGAGAGUGGAAUUCCUGGUGUAGCGGUGAAAUGCGCAGAUAUCAGGAAGAACACCCGUGGCGAAGGCGGCUCUCUGGGACGGUACUGACGCUGAGACGCGAAAGCGUGGGGAGCAAACAGG
rnacentral:rRNA from 1 species